UGCUUGCACCUGGUGGCGAGUGGCGAACGGGUGAGUAAUAUAUCGGAACGUAUCCAAUAAUGGGGGAUAACUAACCGAAAGGUUGGCUAAUACCGCAUACGCCCUACGGGGGAAAGCAGGGGAUCUUCGGACCUUGCGUUGAUGGAGCGGCCGAUAUCUGAUUAGCUAGUUGGUGGGGUAAAGGCCCACCAAGGCGACGAUCAGUAGCUGGUCUGAGAGGACGACCAGCCACACUGGAACUGAGACACGGUCCAGACUCCUACGGGAGGCAGCAGUGGGGAAUUUUGGACAAUGGGCGCAAGCCUGAUCCAGCCAUUCCGCGUGAGUGAAGAAGGCCUUCGGGUUGUAAAGCUCUUUCGCAAGGGAAGAAAACUUACAUUCUAAUAAAGUGUGAGGCUGACGGUACCUUGAUAAGAAGCACCGGCUAACUACGUGCCAGCAGCCGCGGUAAUACGUAGGGUGCGAGCGUUAAUCGGAAUUACUGGGCGUAAAGCGUGCGCAGGCGGUUUUGUAAGUCAGAUGUGAAAUCCCCGGGCUCAACCUGGGAACUGCGUUUGAAACUACAAGGCUAGAGUAUGGCAGAGGGGGGUAGAAUUCCACGUGUAGCAGUGAAAUGCGUAGAGAUGUGGAGGAAUACCAAUGGCGAAGGCAGCCCCCUGGGUCAAUACUGACGCUCAUGCACGAAAGCGUGGGGAGCAAACAGGAUUAGAUACCCUGGUAGUCCACGCCCUAAACGAUGUCUACUAGUUGUUGGGAGAGUAAAAUCUCUUAGUAACGCAGCUAACGCGUGAAGUAGACCGCCUGGGGAGUACGGUCGCAAGAUUAAAACUCA
rnacentral:rRNA from 1 species